AGAGGAAUGAGGGCUUUAAAGGGAGAAGGUGGUGUGUGAUGCACUGCAGGAGCAUAUUGAGGAACUGAGGCAUCGAUGCCUAACAGUGGGAUGAGUGGGAUGGUGGCCUUGUAUUCUUGGCGUAAGGAAUCUUGCUUUCCGAAAUGGAAAAUUGAUAUCUUUCACCUUGCAACAAAGAGGUGCGGAGAAUUCAUACUUCGACAAAAAGUGGAGCUGCAGCAGAGAUGGAAUCAAAUAGGACUAAAGGACUCUUGCAUUAGUGGAACUUCAUGGGCCCUUACUGAUCACCGCUAGCCAUCUGUCCUGCAAAAUGCUCGUUGCUAAGUUAUUUGCACCGGUCCCUUCCUACAUUCUGGC